GGGGGGAUAGCUCGGAUGGGAGAGCGCGGCGUGCGCAACGCCGACGUCGGGAGUUCGACCAUCUUUCCUCCACCA
rnacentral:tRNA from 1 species